rnacentral:rRNA from 1 species
UACGAAGGUUGCAAGCGUUACUCGGAAUUACUAGGCGUAAAGGGCAGGUAGGUGGUUUGGUAAGUCUAUUGUGAAAGCUCCUGGCUUAACUGGGAGAGGCCAAUGGAUACUGCCAAGCUUGAGUAUAGGAGAGGUUACUGGAAUUCCCGGUGUAGCGGUGAAAUGCGCAGAUAUCAGGAGGAACACCGGUGGCGAAGGCGGGUCUCUGGGCCGAUAUUGACGCUGAGGAGCGAAAGCGUGGGGAGCAAACAGG